rnacentral:lncRNA from 1 species
CACAGCAGUGCCGACGUCGUGGGUGUUUGGUGUGAGGCUGCGAGCCGCCGCGAGUUCUCACGGUCCCGCCGGCGCCACCACCGCGGUCACUCACCGCCGCCGCCGCCACCACUGCCACCACGGUCGCCUGCCACAGGUGUCUGCAAUUGAACUCCAAGGUGCAGAAUGGUUUGGAAAGUAGCUGUAUUCCUCAGUGUGGCCCUGGGCAUUGGUGCCGUUCCUAUAGAUGAUCCUGAAGAUGGAGGCAAGCACUGGGUGGUGAUCGUGGCAGGUUCAAAUGGCUGGUAUAAUUAUAGGCACCAGGUAAGAAAAUGACUAAUCUUUUUUUUGUUAAGGACACUGGCAUUCUGAAAACAAUUCCAGACACUGUUAAUAUUAAAUAGAAAAGACUUGAAAAGCCAUUGACGGACCUGUUAGGCUGGCUGUAACAUAGGUGUGUUAGCGAGGAUGUGGGGAAAUCAGAACCCUCAUAUGUUGCCAGGAGGAUUAUAAGAUGGUGUAGCCAUUUUGGAAAACAGUUUGGUCAUUCCUCAGAAGUUUUGAUAGGGCCAUCUUA